UAGCCCUAAAAUGAAUAAAUGAUAUACUAAACUCUUAAAGUCUAAAUUCCAAAAACCCUAAUCUAAUGUGUCACCGCCUCCAAGACUCCAACUCUCACAGUCACUCUCUUCUUUGAUUUUUCUGUCUUGGCCACAUCGUCUUUGUUGCUUCAACACCGGUUAUCUCUUCACAUCAUCUUUGUUGGUUUGUCUCUGUUGCGUCAACGUUACAGCUCCUUCGUUUGUCAUCAUUUCUGAUCCGACGAGCGCCUCUGUUACUCUAAGCUUCCAACUGAAUUUUGGCCGCCUCUACUGCUUCAAAAGCGUGCUUCUGCUCCUAUUCUUCAUCGUCGAUCAGUCUUCUUCUCAAAGGCUUGCUACAGGUUUUGGAGCUACCACUACCAUUCCCUAGCGCCGUCGGCUCAAUAAUUUUGGUCAUGACAUUUAUGAAUUGACAUGUUGUGGUAUGUCGACAACUGAGAGGUCGUUCAUCAUAUGCUUUAGUAUGUUAUAUUUGUCUGAAGUAUGUGUUUAUGAAAUAAUUGUCGAGAUUGAUGUUUGAUGCU